rnacentral:lncRNA from 1 species
AUCUAACUUUUGGUAAUGAACCUAGUUGCUACUUAACACGCAUCACUGGAGCCUGCAUUAAACAGAGGAGGCCUCCUAACUCUUUUAAUUCAACUGAACCAUUCUUAAUAAUUCAUAAUUAAGUCUGGCUCAGAAAUGAUAGUCUCCAUGGCAAUAUUGAUUUAUUUGCUUUUUGUGUCUCUGCCAAAUGUUGGAAGCGACAGAAUUCUGCGUCUCGGAAGGUGGGUGGCAUCAACAAAGAUCGCAGACCGAAAGGAACAGCAAAGGGUUUUUACCAAAAGUCCCUUCUGUCGUAACUUCCAAGAAAGAUGAAACGUAAAACGGGAGAGAAGGGAAAGAGGAGAUUACAGGCUCCCCGGCGAGGCGUUCGUGGAAAUUCACAGCCACGUGUACCCACCGGUAUGGAAAACCAGAAGUCCCUUAAAAUCUGUGUCUGUGAGAUGAGAGCAAAGGUCUUUGGGGGCGGGGGCUACACCAGGGAAUGGCCCCCACUCCCCAGAUCCCCAGCUUACUUUCUGCUUGAAAGACCACCAAAGCCUGCCCUCACGGCGCAAAUGAGUUGAAGGAAGACGCAUUUCCAAAAAUGUCCUCUCUGGGCUACAGCCUUCUUCCUGGGUCCUUUGAUGGAAAAUACUCUAGACAUGAAUGUGUGCUAUUAGCGUAGAUUUGAACCCCCCCCCCAAUGUCCUCCAAUGUCGAUCGCCCGUUUCACCUGCUUUUCAUAAAAAUGUCCUUCUGCUCCAGCUGAAACCCCGCCCACCCAAGACCCAUCAUCUGAACCCUGACCUCUGACCCCGAAGGAAAUGAAGUCGGCUCCAACGCCCAGGUCACGAUGCGGUGCUGUCCUUUGCAGACCACAUGGGAACGAACACAGCAAUACUUACCAUAAAAGUAAUAGACUCAGUGAACGUCUGUCUUCAGAGGUAUGAACAGGAGUCGGAUGGUGCAUAAGCAUCGUAUUUUAAAAGUCCGAUUAAGAGCCUGCCUUGAAGCGAGUUGGGAACGGAGACCUGAGGCUGUACCGUGUCUGCUCAACAGGCAACGUCUUGGAAAGCUGCGUCCACAAGUCAGAGCUUCGGGAACUCUUGAGGGGCUUCUGUCUAUGAUUUACUGGCUUUUUCCUUGAAUCCCUUCCAGCCAGUUGGGCAAUAACGUUUUAUUGAAUGGGAGUAAGAUGUGUGUCGGAUCGUGUACUAGAGACUCUUAAAAUGGCUUAAAAUAGCCCAAGGCCAGCAACAUUUUCCAGAUACAAUUGCUGAAGCAUCCUCUGGACAGGCAGAGGUCUCCCUUUUAGAUGACACUAUCCCCUUCGGAAGGCUGGUGUGGGUCACACACGAACUCACGUGCACACAUCACGCCCACACCCAGGGCUGCGGCCCCUGGGCUGAGCAAUAGGAGCAGACAGAAGGCGUUUGAGCCCAGCUCUGCCACCAACGAUGUGUGAUCUUAGCCAAUGUCACCGCACCUCUCUGAACCUCCGUUUCUUUAGCUGUAACGUGCAGCUGACCACCCCGGCUGGUUGGAAAAUUCACAGGACAUGAGAGAUGCGAAGGCAAAAGGUAGGGUCUAAAGCAGACUGCAAGGGAAGAGUCCCAGCUCUUCCCUGCUCCCGCUGUGUGACCUUUGACAAGUUACUGAACCUCUCUGUGCCUCGGAGUUCUUACUUAUAACAUGAAGAUAACAGCAAGUAUCCAUCUCAAACGAUUAUAGUGAGUAUUAAGUCCAUCAGCAUGAUAUGCUUUUAACAGUGCUUCUCAUUAUUGCUAUUAACAAUUGCUGCUCUGUUGGAAAGGAAAGAAAAAACAGACUGCCCUUUGGUCCCCAAAGUCAUGGGAUGUUUAUCCAGCUUCCCAGGAGGCCCCUGAAAUAAAUCCCGAAGGAACAAAACAGCCAUUAAAAAUUGUGUCAAAAGCGUAAUUUUAAAAGCAACACGUCAUUCCCACGAAAAUUGGAACAAAUGAGAUUUUACUCUCAAAUAAAGGGAUGGCAUUGUAUGUGUCUACCUGGGCAGGGUCCUGCAGUGAGAACAAGCAUCCCGCCUGUGUUCCUUCAUUCAGAAGUCAGCGUCUGUUGAGCUCCUAGCGGAUGUGACAUCCUUGCUAAACCCUGGGUGACAGGGACAGCUUGGAUCUUCGCGGAGCUAUAGAGUGAUGACAAAACAACGUGCACUUGCCCAGAGAGGAAUAAAUGGGUUGGGGGCAGAGGAGGAGGGGUGCGCUUCUUGAGAGCAAGGGGAGGGGGCGGGGGGCAACUCCAACUCGGAGGCAGAGGAGGAGUUUUGAUCCGAUGGAGAAGGGGUCAGGCCAUCUGGCAGCAUACGGAGCCCAAAGGCAGGGUGACCCUGUGAGCCAAGACGGGGGUGAGAAGGGGCUGUUGGGGAAACUCGGAGGAGGAGCCCGGAAAACCACGGGGAGGACCUGGGGUCUCCCGCUGUGGCUGUGAGCAUCCCAGAGGCUCUAAGCUGGGGCAGAGCGUGAGUGCAUCUCGCUGUUGAGUGCUCACUCCAGGAGGCGUGAAGCUGGGACCAGGGAGGGGCGAGAUGAGAUUUGGGCCAGGACCACUGCAGUGGCUGCCCUUCAGCGCAUGUGCCCUCAUCCUCUGAUAAGAACACAGAGGGCAAGGUGGGGAGAGGGCUUCUCCCAUCACCAACAUCCCCUGUGCUGGGCUGGGAACUCCAAGGAAGGGGCAGAAAGUGGAGACGAGGAUGAAGAUGAGUCGAUUCGGUGUGGGAGGGGCCUGGGCAGCAAGACGGGGUCUUGGCCCCAUCCCUCCCUUCCCCUGGGCUGGAGAGAAGGAAUUGAAGAGAAGGCUGCAGAGGCCCGGGCACAGCUUCCCCAGGAUGAGAUGCAAGAUGAAGGGACGGCCAGUUGCAAGACCAGCCUUACGGUCCUCGGAAAACCAUGUCCCCCACCCUGGGUAGCAUGCAACACGUAAUGAAUGCUGUGCUAUUCGAUUCAUGCCGAAUAAACAAAAUGACAGAGGAGCAUGUGGAGAGAGGCGUAAAUUCCUCAUUGAUACAUGCAUUCUGGAAAACAAGGAACUGAUUCGGAAAGAGAUCGUGUAGGCUAACCCGUGGUGGUCGUAAAACCUCAAACGGAUCCACAGGUAGCCUUGCAAAAUAGCCCCCAUCCUUUUGCUGACGCUUCUACUUUAAUCUAAAAAGCUCUUGGUGGCCUGGUUCCGAGAUCCCUGUUUCUCUGUUCAAACAGCUUUCUUGAAGUUUGGAAAAUAGAAACUACUCCCCUCGGGGUAUAAAGAACACACCUUUCAAGAUUGGGUAACCUGGCAAAGUGAAAUUAAAAAGCUGGCUGUGGAUAACACCAUUGUCAGGCACAUGGGUUUCACGAUCACGGUUCUUAAAACUAAGCACUAAAAAAAAAAGGGUUCUUCCACCAGGGGUCGGGGUGGGGGACUAUUAGCCCGCUGUCCCACGCCAGCUUCUUGCCCCCCCCCAACAGCACCUCCAGCCCCUGGUCCGCUUAAUAUCUGAUACUCCCCCCCUUUUCCUCCUCCCUCUUUGCGGUGUGUCCUCUGAAAUAGCAAAGAUUUCAAGGAAUAACAACAUCUGAAACACAAAACAAAUCUGUUACCCUCAAAGCAACCGCAGGAGCAGAGCUGUUAAGAGUUACCAGGAGUCCCCAUCAGUCGCCAGCUGUGGCCCCUGGUGUCCCUCAGGGACCAGCCCGGGACAGCAGGUAGAAGAGGGAGGGACACUGGGAAGUUGGGCACUUUUCAAAUUUCAUGGGAGAUGAUGAUGACUCUCGGCGUGGAGACCUGGGGACGCCUUCUCUCCUGAGCACACAGUUAUGCGCGGCCGGAGUAAACACUUAGCGGCGGAGGGAAGGGAAGAGCUUGGGACUUUACCCCACACAAGAAGGGACGCCUUUGCGCCCAGGCUCUCAGCGCCGAGCGUCUCAGCAGGUGCUCAGGCUCGCCCCCUGGUGGUCGGAAAACCUACAGCUGUGGGUGACCCAGGUGGGAAAAGCCUUUUGACUGGUUUUACUCUUCAUCAGCCAAACUAAGCUACUUUUGUUUUUUUUAUGGGCACAUCCUCGGCAUAUGCAAAUUCCUCGGCCAGGGAUUGAAGUCGAGUCUGCUGCAGUCGGAUUCUUAACCCACUGUGCUAUAGUGGGAACUCCUGCUUUUUAAAAAAGUAUAUUUGAUUUACAAUAUGUUAAUUUCUGCUGUACAUCAAAGUGAUUCAGUAUACUGAAUAUAGAUAUAUAUAUACUGAAUAUAGAUGUUAUAUGCAGAAGAGUGUGUGUGUGUACAUAUAUAUACUGAAUAUAGAUGUUAUAUGCAGUAGAGUUUAUAUACAUACUUUCAUAUUCUUUUCCUUUAUGGUUCAUCACAGAAUAUUGACUAUUGUUACCUGUGCUAUGCAGUAGGACUCUGUUGUUUAUCCAUCCUACAUAUAAUAGUUUGCAUCUGCUCAUCCCAAACGCCUGGCCCAUCCCUCCCCCCACCAUCCCCCUUGGCAACCACAGAUCUGUUUCUAGGUCUGUGAGUCUCUGUUUCGUAGAUAUGUUCAUUUAUGCCGUAUUUGAGAUUCCACAUAUAAAUGAGAACACAUGAUAUUUGUCUUUCUCCUUCUGACUUAUUUCACUUAGUAUGAUAAGGUCUAGGUCCAUGUUGCUGCGAAUGGCACUAUUUCAUUCUUUUCUUAAGGCUGAGAAUUCCACUGUACGUAUGGACUCAUCUUCUUUAUCCGUAUUCCUCUGUCAAUGGACAUUUAGGCUAUUUCCCUGUCUUGGUUAUUGUGAAUAGUGCUCCUGUCAACAUGGGGGCCCAUGUAUGUUUUCCAGUUAUGGUUUUGUCCAGACACAUGCCUGGGAGCGGGACUGCUGGGCCAUCGGUAAGGCCUCGGCUUCCUCACUUAUAAAAGGGGGCUGAUAUGGCUCCCGGGUGCUGUCACAGUUACACAGAGGAUGGGGGUGUAACGCCCAGCACGAAGUCUGGCCGGGCUGUCUGUCCCCAGCUCUCCUUUCCCCAUCUGCUCCCUCGAUCACUCAUUCACUCAUUUAUCCAUCCUUUGUGAACUCCCUUUAGAGACCAGGCACCACCCUGGCAGUGGGCAUGGGGCCGUGAGCAAGAGAGAAAGUUCCUGUCCGUGGGAAGCUCACGGCCU